AUGCGCUGGCACACGGAGAGGAAGAAGCCCGACGAUGGAGAUGAUCUGAAGCUGAGACACGUCGAGGAUGGAAGCCAGUGGAUGGCGUUGAACAGCUUCUAUCGGUAUUUUGAAUGUGAUGCAAGGAACAUCGUGCUCGGCGCAUGUACCGAUGGCAUGAAUCCAUUUGGCAACCAGAGCAUUAGCUUUGCCCGUGUUUGUAUGGAUGUACAACCUCCCCCCUGGUUGUGCAUAAAAUCGAAGUGCAUUCACAUGAGCAUGCUUAUUCAAGGGCCGAAACAACCAGGAAAUAAUAUUAAUUUGUAUCCGGGGCUACUUCAGGAGGAGUUAGACACGUUAUGGAAAACACCGGCCAAGACAUGGGACGCCAGCAAAGGCGAGUAUUUUAACAUGAGAGCCGUGCUGAUCACGACAGUGCACGACUAUCUUGGUUACGGAUAUGUUGCAGGCUAG
rnacentral:rRNA from 1 species